CCUACGGGAGGCAGCAGUCGAGAAUCUUUCACAAUGGGGGAAACCCUGAUGCUGCGACGCCGCGUGCGCGACGCAGGCCCUCGGGUUGUAAACCGCUUUCAGCAGGGAAGAUCCAAGACGGUACCUGCAGACGAAGCUCCGGCUAACUCCGUGCCAGCAGCCGCGGUACUAUGUAGGGGCCGAGCGUUAUCCGGAUUCAUGGGGCGUAAAGCGCGCGUAGGGGGCCGCCUAAGCGGGUGCUCAAACCCCGGGGCUCACCCCCGGGCCGGGUCCCGGACUGGGCGGCUCGAGUGCGGUAGAGGCGAGCGGAAUUCCUGGUGUAGCGGUGGAAUGCGGAGAUAUCGGGAAGAACACCGAUGGCGAAGGCAGCUUUCUGGGCCGUCACUGACGCUGAGGCGCGAAAGCUGGGGGAGCGAACAGGAUUAGAUACCCUGGUAGUC
rnacentral:rRNA from 1 species